ensembl:snRNA U1 U1 spliceosomal RNA
AUACUUACCUGGCAUGGGAGGUACCAUGUUCAUGAAGGGGGGUUUUCCUAGGGCAAAGCUUACUCAUUGAAUUCCAGAUAUGCUGCCCCCUGUGAUUUCCGCACAUGUGGAAAUCGAACUCCAUCAUUUUUGGUAAUUAGGAACUGUGUUCAUAAUCUCCCUUA